rnacentral:rRNA from 1 species
CCUACGGGAGGCUGCAGUGGGGAAUAUUGGACAAUGGGCGAAAGCCUGAUCCAGCCAUGCCGCGUGUGUGAAGAAGGCCUUCGGGUUGUAAAGCACUUUCAGUGGGGAAGAAAGCCUUGGGGCUAAUACCCUCGAGGAAGGACAUCACCCACAGAAGAAGCACCGGCUAACACCGUGCCAGCAGCCGCGGUAAUACGGAGGGUGCGAGCGUUAAUCGGAAUUACUGGGCGUAAAGCGCGCGUAGGCGGUCUGAUAAGCCGGUUGUGAAAGCCCCGGGCUCAACCUGGGAACGGCAUCCGGAACUGUCAGGCUAGAGUGCAGGAGAGGAAGGUAGAAUUCCCGGUGUAGCGGUGAAAUGCGUAGAGAUCGGGAGGAAUACCAGUGGCGAAGGCGGCCUUCUGGACUGACACUGACGCUGAGGUGCGAAAGCGUGGGUAGCAAACAGGAUUAGAUACCCUGGUAGUC